GGGCGUAAAGGGCUCGCAGGCGGUUUCUUAAGUCUGAUGUGAAAGCCCCCGGCUCUUCCGGGGAGGGUCAUUGGAAACUGGGGAACUUGAGUGCACAUUAGGAGAGUGGAAUUCCACGUGUAGCGGUGAAAUGCGUAGAGAUGUGGAGGAACACCAGUGGCGAAGGCGACUCUCUGGUCUGUAACUGACGCUGAGGAGCGAAAGCGUGGGGAGCGAACAGGAUUAGAUACCCUGGUAGUCCACGCCGUAAACGAUGAGUGCUAAGUGUUAGGGGGCUUCCGCCCCUUAGUGCUGCAACUAACGCAUUAAUCCCUCCGCCUGGGGAGUACGGUCGAAUGACUGAAACUCAAAGGAAUUGACGGCGGCCCGCACAAGCGGUGG
rnacentral:rRNA from 1 species